rnacentral:rRNA from 1 species
AUACGUAGGGGACAAGCGUUAUCCGGCUUUACUGGGUGUAAAGGGAGCGUAGGCGGCCAGCCAAGUCAGAAGUGAAAUCCCACGGCUCAACUGUGGGCGUGCUUUUGAAACUGGAGGGCUUGAGUACUGGAGGGGCAAGCGGAAUUCCCGGUGUCGCGGUGAAAUGCAUAGAUAUCAGGAAGAACACCGGAGGCGAAGGCGGCUUGCUGGACAGAGACUGACGCUGAGGCUCGAAGGCGUGGGGAGCAAACAGGAUUAGAUACCCUGGUAGUCCACGCGGUAAACGAUGAAUGCUAGGUAUUGGGCUCCACAGGGGUUCGGUGCCGCAGUUAACGCAAUAAGCAUUCCACCUGGGGAGUACGUUCGCAAGAAUGAAACUCAAAUGAAUUGACGGGG